UAUUUUCGAUUUUUUAAAACCAAUUGAUUUAUAUGGAUCUUGUCUAACCGUUUUCACUAGUGGUGUUGCAAAUCGACAUUUGUCUAGCAUGGAGACUGGCUUCAGACAUUUCGUGAAUCUGUGUAAAUCAGACCCGUGAUGUACUUUUGGUUCGGCAUUUUAGAAAUGGAAAAGCCUUGGUAAAAUAUUUAAUUUUGAAGUCACUUAAUUGCACUUUUAAUUUAUAUGCAGAUUUUCAUCCUCGUUUGUGUCUUGCAAAUAAAUGAAGCUGCGAGUAAUUGAAAAUUUGAUAUUUAGAGGUUUUUUUUAAAAAAAAAAAACACAGACCUCUCCCUACCCCCUUAAAUCUGCUGCAAAAAUUUGCAUAAAUAUAAAUGGGUUUGCAUUCUUUCGGCUGCUAAGGCCGACAAAGGAUCUGGGAGGGCAAGCACUACCACGGGAAAGCCUUUUUCUUUUUUUCUUAAAGCUUGGCCAUCCUUCCUAGAGAGAUGUAAAACCUAAAAUAAGACCUGAUACAUUUUAAACAUCAGGCUGGGGGCGAGUGAACACCAGCAGGUUUGGGGUUUGUAGAUUCCCCGGCUUGAAAACCUCCCAAGCAGUGUGUGGAUCACCCCUCUCCUCUCGGCGCGCGCUCAUUUGCGCUGGGUCUCUGUGUGUGUGCUUCAAAUGUGCAGCCAGAUGCGCUUUUAUUUUGAUCGUGGUUUGAACAAAUGGUGGGAGUAUCUUGUAAACAUGGUGUUUGAAAGAUAGAACCGCUCAUCACCCCGAUUAGGAAUUAUUUCUCUCUGUUUCUCCCUGUGGGUUGGCCGCCUCCGUUUCUCACGGCUUACAAUUUCUGUUUAAUUUUAUACGGAUGAACUGGGCUUUUCAGCACAAAUUCAGCUUCUGUAUGUCUAGUUGUCUGUUUUGGCCACGUAUUCAUUGUGAAAUGGUCGUAUCUGGUCACCUCAAUAAGUAGCUGUACGUGUAUGUCUGUUGGUUACCCUCGAAACUGUGUGCAGUGAGUGCCCUGAAGUUAAAUUCCAUUACUCCUAAUGCAGGAUUCUAGAAAGCCUGGGGAUGGGGAGGGAAGAGGACUGAAAACUUGCCUUCUCAGAGCCACCUCCCCCGAUCGUUGUGAGUGUGAUGUAAUGCUCUCGGUCUGGUGGGCUGAAAGGAUUGUAGUUUGUGAUGUGGCGGGGAAAUAGCCCUCACCCCUGGGGAAACUACCCCAUCCCCCUCAGCAUAUCCCUGGCUCGAAGAGGCCUUGUUUUCUUUUCUUUUCUUUUUUUUCUCCUAAUUUGUAUCCUCCUGAUUUAUGCCUUAGCAUAUUGGCAUGAGAAAGAGACUGUUCUUCUAAAGCUGUUACAAAGUAUAGUUUAGAAAGGCCAUUUAAAAUAUGCAAAUUGAAUUGUCAUAUCCCCAUCAUUAAAUAUGUAGACUUGGAUUAAAGGUAAUUAAGCAUAAAUGGAAUAAUUUUGAUCAGAAGGAAGCAGUGGGGCUUUUUUUUGUUUCCUUUUUAAUUAAUCUAAUUAUAAGAUGCUUGCUGGGCCUGAAAGUGUUAAAAAAAAAAAAUGGGAAAAAUGCUGGACCAUUUUGAAAAUUUGACAGUCUGCAAGAGGGUGUGUAGUGCUUUCAAAAGCUUUAUUCACUGUUAAAAUGGAUUGGCCUCUUGUGCUGAAAAUGGCCUGUUUCUUUGGGCCAAUUGUUUGUAGAUGAAGGGACUUUCACGCUAAUUUAACAAAAAGACGUUCCAUUGGAAUUCAUAAAGAUAAUUAAAGUCCUCUGUCUCUAAAGAGCAAGUAUUUUAUUAUUUUUUUUUUUAAAUUAAUGUUGUUAGUAGCAAUGGAAAUGAGUGGGGAAGUGACAGUUUAAAUUCAGUGUAAAUUUUUUUGGUGGUAGAAGUUCAGCUUUUGUGUAAGAUUGGAAACAUUACAUUCAAAAGGUAAUCUGGAACAAAUUUGUCUCUUAGAAAAUUUUUUUACAGCUUGAAUUUAAAGGAAAAGACGUAGAAAUUACCAUAGUAAUAGAGAGCGUUGCUUUGUGGUAGACCUGAGGAAAAUUAGAGUUCUGAUUUUUGUUGUUGUUUUUUUUCUGAAAAUGAAAGCGCUUAUUUGGGGCUUUACUUGUUAGAUGAUUCAUUUUAUGCCCAUUUCCUAAGUUGGCCUUACAGAAGAAGAAUGAGAUGAACCUCCGCUUUCCACAUUUUGUCAUUAGCUUGUUUUUUUUGGACUAUGUAAACAUGUGAAUAGCAGGUUAAUUCAGUUUGCAGAGCGGAGGGACCAGAAGCAGGGUGCCUGCUUUCUAAGGCAAGGAGGAGAAUAAUAUAAUGAACAUUUAACAGAACACCAUCUGAUUCUUUGAAAUGUUUUGGUAAAUAUUCUCCUCGCUAGACAGGUUGAGAAGUGUGAUAAAUAAGACCUGGUUUCACGUAUGUUAAGCGUUAUGGCUCUGGUGAGUUUCAGAAGCUCAGCUGCCAUUUUGGAUCUAAGUUCCUGCAGAGCCAAUCCUUAUGGCACACCAAACUCUGGUAAUUCAGGAGCAAAUAAAAAUGAGUUAUACAUCAAGCAUGCAGGUGGAUAGUACUUAAUUUGUGCCUUUUGUUGAAGUUUUCUUUCUGUUGGCACUGUGAAAUGAAGCUUUAAAAACUUCAGAGAUGUGGCUGAUGUUAUGAAGAGCAAAACGCAGAGAUACUAGAACUUGCACGUUGUGGUUUUUAAAAAUGAGGCAGUGUACGCAGAGGAAGUUUCUGUCUGGAGAAAAAAUAAUAUAAUCUUCACUAAAGUCUCCACACCCCCAAUGCCUAUUUCCUUUUGCUGGGUCUACUUGUGAUAUUAUAGUGAUGUUACUAUUCACAAUGCUACUGUGUUGCAGAAAGAAAUGUCACAGAUUCAUUAUUAAGAUUUUACUGAAACAUCACAAAAAUUGAUAGAGCGGUUUAAUCAGAAGUGGUAUCUUAUUUUUAAACUGUUUUUCAGUCCUUCUAUCUGCAUACCAGAAAGGAAGCGUCGGCGUCUUUGGUAUAUGGCGCAAACUCAGCUCCGUUGUUCAGCUUUGAAUGGCCAUUUGUUAUUCUCUUUCACCACUGGGACAAGUCAUUUAGAAAUCAGCUUCUAAAAAUUGAAGCAGAGACUUAGAAGGCUUUUCCAGCUCUUAAUCCUACAAGAGACAUGGAAGGAGUGAUCUGUGGUGAUGAGACCUUCAGGUUCUGCAGAGUAGGCCCCAGCAGAUAACAGUAGUAAGGGGUUAGGCCUCACCCUACCCAGAUGCCCCAGGACUGAAAAGUUUGCAAGAAAUUUAAUUUUUACAACUCAGUAUAAUCAUUGACCUUCUGUCAUUUAAACUGGACAAGACCCUGAGGCAACACAGAUGAAUGUACUUUGUCCCAAUCCUAAGGAGUACCACUCUAGCGAGGGAGAUGCCCGGUGAAAGAACCAGUCGUCUUGGUGCUCUGUAAGAGGUAGAGCAAGUCCCUGAAAGGCUGUAACGGCCCCACAGAAGCCUCGGUCCUCUGAUGGCUCCCAGGAUUGGGACGCUCAGGCAGUGAUUGCGCGAAACCUCCGCCUGGACGAGGACAGGAGCGGCGCUGAGCCCUUUCUUUUGUUCAAGUCUCUACAUUCCUAUGGUCUGAUGUCGUCUCUUCAUGCGCUCCAGUUUCCUUCAGGCUCUGCCCCUGUGGUGUAUCCACAUUUGCUUGGCUGCUUUUCAUACAUUCUGUGUUUUGCAUCAAAAGGUUCUCAACAGUUUCAAAUGAAUUGGUCUUAGAGUUUACAAGGCAAAGGAGAACAGAAAAUGCAGUGUUUUUUCCCUUCAUUUUUAUUAUUCUGAGCCUGCACAUAGAAACUCUAUUUAUUUAACCAAACUGCUAAUAGUUUUGACUCAGAAGACAGAUACAAUUAAAAUUUAGGUCAAUUACCCACUUGAUACAAUGCUUUUGAAUUAAUAAAGAUGACACAUAGCAUUCA